rnacentral:rRNA from 1 species
AUUGAACGCUGGCGGCAGGCCUAACACAUGCAAGUCGAACGAGUGGCGGACGGGUGAGUAAUGUCUGGGAAACUGCCUGAUGGAGGGGGAUAACUACUGGAAACGUUAGCUAAUACCGCAUACCAUCAGAUGUGCCCAGAUGGGAUUUGCUAGUUGGUGGGGUAACGGCUCAAGAAGGCGACGAUCCCUAGCUGGUCUGAGAGGAUGACCAGCCACACGGGAACUGUGACACGGUACAGACUGCUACGGGAGGCAGCAGUAGGGAAUAUUGCACAAGGGGCGCAAGCCUGAUGCAGCCAGGCCACGUGUAUGAAGAAGGCCUUCGGGUUGUAAAGUACUUUCGGCGGGGAGGCGUUACCCGCAGAAGAAGCAACGGCUAACUCCGUGCCAGCAGCCGCGGUAAUAC